UCUAUGAAAGAUGGGAAAGAUUAAGCAUUCUACAAAGAAUCUAUUUGUGCAUUCUAGAAAAACUAAAAUGUGUGCAUUCAUGAAAACUAAAAUCCAAGCUUAACUGAAAUGCACGAAAUGACGCCAGAACAUUGCAAAUGUAUUAUAGAACUGUGUUCACGUGUAUGUAUGAUGGCGUGUAUGUACGGCUUUAAGGGCAAUUUAACUGAAGCAGAAAUGAGGCGCGCAUCUCCAUGCUCUCGCGAUACAGCGCGCGCACUGUUACAUCACCCCAAUUAGCUUAUGCAUAAAUUAUCUCGCCGCCAUAAUUAAUGUUGUUUAAUGCUUUGGUGUGCUCAGUUUCAGUCUCAUUCUGCCCACCGAGUGCGCCCUUCAAGGAGGCGCAGAUCAAUCUUGGGGACCCGUGUCAUGUUUUUCCUGUUUGCUUCACAAAGUCAUAAAAAUCACUGCUGUUCCUCAUCAUGCAUGAGUACUAUGUAGUGGUGCCAUUACCAAUUUGACCAAAUUAUGUGUAGAGAGGCUUCUGGACAAUUUAAUCCCUCCAGGAGACUUGGUGAGACCUCUUUUUCUGUUAAUUUUCAUCCUCUCCCUCAUUCAAGCACCCUCUCUCUUUCUCUGCCUCCACAAUGUGGGGUUUCUUUCUUUCCUUUUUUAUGCUCCCUUAUAUCGCUUUUUCCCUCCCCAGCCCCAAGCCCUCAGACAGCAUGCAGCUUAUGCAAAUCAUUGGCCUUUUAUCCUCGAUACUCGUCCUCCGACUUCAAUGAGAUCUCAAGAAAACACAACCACACACGCACACGCACACACACACACACACACCACACACACACACACACACACUUGUCUUUCUCACCAAAAUUCUUGCAAGCUACUGUACACUGUACCCACAUAUAUUUUUAUACUACAGAAAUCAACACAUUUACUGUAAUUGCCAAUAAACUCAAAUUAUAAUGCAAUAUGAAAAUACACACACAUCCAAACUGAGGAAUAUUAUGACAAAAAUAUUCUCACAAAAUGGCCCGUAUUCUUUCAUUUAAAAACAAUUUGCUCUUUUUGGAAAAUUUCUGUCUUAUAUUUGAUUGGUAUGAAGUUAAUACCCAGUUUAGUUCUUGGUGGAGUCAGAACCUCCACAGCUUUACUAGUCUAACCUAUUAGAAAAUCACCACAUAACAGGCUUAAUUAAUUUAGACAUAUACAGCAACAAUGUGUUUUUGUUUAAUAACUGACAGUUUAAAUAAAAUUAGGGGAAAAAGAGUAAAAUAUUUUUAUAAAGAUGGAGGAGGACUUAGUAGAUGGAGAUAGACUAGACUCUUAAGAUGAGGGGGGCUGUUUACCAAAGUCACUGAGAGAGGGGUGGAGGGAGGGCCUGAUGAAUAUAAAGUGCUCACCGCAAAGCUGACUUUCCCAGGCCCUGGAAAUGCACCCACACUUACACUGUAAAUGUGCCCAGCUGCUAGGGAUGGCGUAUGGAGUGUGUAUGUGGGUGUGGGGGGCAACUAGCCUGACUUCCCUCAGACACUUUGACAGGCCGGCCUUUUCAGCAACACAUUUCUGGGCCUGUCUGCCCCCUCUCCCUUGGCAACUGCCCUGCGCUGCGAGUCCCCUCCCUUUGGUUUGGGGGUAGACAGGGAGACAAAGUUGACAGAACUGGAUGAAGAAGUACCCAGUCUGUCUAGCCUUGGCUAGACAUCCUCCAAGUGAACUUGAACUUGAGUUCAAAGAAACCAUAUUGAAACUUUGCUGUAUUUAUUUGCAUUUUAUUUUUCAUUUUAUUUUAUAUUAUUGGACCAGUUUGACAAUAUAGAAAAAACAAAUAGUGUAUUUCAUUUGUCAUGUACAGUGACAGUCUAUCAAAUUCUUAUAUUGUUGAAAUUACUGGCAUUUCAUGAGCAUAUACCCUUUUUUUUUAAACAUUCUGUCACUCAUAUGCUCCAAUAUGAAGCACUUGGUGUUCAAUUUAUCCCCUUCUUUUAGGCUUUAAGCUGAAGUCAGAGAUUGACUCUAUUUUCUUCAGAUCUAUCAUUGUGUAAGACCGCUUAAAUGUCUAUUAUUAUGGACAUGUACAGAAAACACGUUUAUCAUAAUGACCAGAACAUUUCAGGCUUGAACUUGGAACAAAUGACUAUAAAUAGGUCUAAUAAUCUUACAUUUGGUCUAUUUGAAUCUUAAAAUUUUAAAUAUUAGACAAAAUUCAAUAUACAUAAAAUUUAUUUUUACUUGCUAAUAUAUCAGUUUUUGCAGUGCAAGAAUUCCAGUGGUAAACUUUUCACAGCCAAUUGGCCAGUGACAAGGCAAAGAAAGGGGAACAGGCCAUUUGAAAGCGCCCCUGUAGCUGAUACAAAGAUGGGAACAAGCGUUCUCUGGAUAAUCACUUUUAUACUGGGAUUAAAACAGGAACGGCAGCUGAGGUAGGCACAAUGGAUGAAAAAGGGAUUUCACCAUAAAACAUCCUCAGCAAAAUCCCAGAGGUGGUUUGAUGAGGUUUUUUCUGUGUUGACUGUUGAGAUUUUUACGGUGUUCACUAUAGUAAUUGCAAGUAUCUUUAUGUCUUGACAGAAUUCUGUAGUGUGUAUCUAGGGCAUUUAUUAAAAACAAGAUGACAUUUAAAUUCAUAUAUGACAAUAAUAAACAUGAAUGGAGAAACAUAAAUGGAGUGGUCUUUAAACCUUUGGUGAUGCAAUAACAGAGAUAUGUAAUUGUGCCAUACUGCACUGCCAAUUUAUUAUUGUAUGAGUGUUAUUUCCACCAUGUACUAUGUUAUCACAAUAUCAAAUCAGAUUUCACUGAUUUAAAAGAAAAAGUCAUGAAAUUAAAAAUAAAGAAAAAAAAAAAAAAACGUUGAUAGUGGAAAUGAAAAAUUACAUGAUAUUUGGAGGGCUUGGGUUCUGGGUGUGGGGGAAGUUGGGAUAUUAUUGACGGGGGUCUUCUGGAAAUACUGUUAGUAUGCCAGACAAAUAUUCCCAGAUAGUCGGCUCCCAGGCCUUUACGAUUAGCAUGCCAGCUGCGGCAUCUGCCACAUGGGGCCACAGGAAAAGUCAGAGAGUAAAGCCCGCCUGCCCCUCCCUAUACAUAUCACCCACCACUUCUUACCACACACAUGGUGGGCGCAAAGGUUCCCACCAUACAGACACCAGCUCCAUCAUGUAGUUAUCUGAGAUUUGUUCUUAAAGGUGUAAUGAUCUGGUCAUGGGGAGACAACCUAAGCAUACAGGUGAUCUUGACACAGAGAUUUUAUUUUGUCUUUAAUUCACAACUCUUUUGGAAUAAUCUAUUCCUCUUUCCUCUUUCUUUCAUGUUUUUUUUCCCAUGAAAUACUGAGUCCCUGGUGUAAACAUUUUCUCUCUUUUUUGUGGUUUUCUGUAACGCUGGCUCAAUUCUUUUGGGUAAUAUAUUAUAAUGGCGCUUUAAUUAAUUGCUCUCCCAACUGCUCUGCCCUGGCAGAAGGGAAAAGAGAGACAGGCUGUCUGUCAGGUCUACACUGUUAUUUUUCUUGGGACCAAUGACCCAUUGUUUUAUUUCUGUGAUAAGACAAAAAUGUUUUAUUUCUGAUAAGCUAUUAUAUCGUUUUAUGUUCUGCAGAAUAUUGAACAGAGAUAUAAGAAAACAUGCAUGACUAUGUUAUGCAUGGAAAACCCAAACAUCACUAAACAUCAAAUAGUUACUAUUACAUGAUCAGAAAUAUGAAACAUUGUAUGCACCUAUGCACUCCCACCCAUUUUUCCACAUGCACACUAAAAUAAGGGCUCUCUCUGUUGUUUUUUCCUCUUCAGCAGAUUGUCUCUCGGGAUUUGGGCGCUAAUUUAGGCAGCUGGCUCCGUCUGGGACUGAGCAUCUUUCCCAGUCUAGUGCCUCCUGUGUCUCUCACUCCCCAUCCAUGCUGACAAUGGUGGGAAAAGGGGGCACCAUAGAAUCACGUCAAGAGCUACACUUACAAUGCUGCUAUUGUAGAGGGCAGACGAGGAUCAGAAUAAUAAUGCAGUAACGUCUAACUGUUUACUAACAUGUACUCUACAGCUGCAGACUUCAACCCUAUGUGUCCGAAUAUUUCCAAGCCAUCCACAGUGAAAUAAUUUUGGAUGUAUUAUGCAGGCAAUUUCUUUUCUUCAUGUUAUGCAAUGUAUGAUGUCAGCACAUAAUUGGACCAUCUUUAUAAAGCAAUAAAUGCUUUGUAGUUUUGAAACA